rnacentral:rRNA from 1 species
UGGGGAAUAUUGCACAAUGGGCGCAAGCCUGAUGCAGCCAUGCCGCGUGUGUGAAGAAGGCCUUCGGGUUGUAAAGCACUUUCAUCGGGGAGGAAGGGAGUAAAGUUAAUACCUUUGCUCAUCGACGUUACCCGCAGAAGAAGCACCGGCUAACUCCGUGCCAGCAGCCGCGGUAAUACGGAGGGUGCAAGCGUUAAUCGGAAUUACUGGGCGUAAAGCGCACGCAGGCGGUUGAUUGAGUCAGAUGUGAAAUCCCCGGGCUUAACCCGGGAAUUGCAUCUGAUACUGGUCAGCUAGAGUCUUGUAGAGGGGGGUAGAAUUCCAUGUGUAGCGGUGAAAUGCGUAGAGAUGUGGAGGAAUACCGGUGGCGAAGGCGGCCCCCUGGACAAAGACUGACGCUCAGGUGCGAAAGCGUGGGGAGCAAACAGG